GCCGCUGCAGGGCAACACCCCGGCGUCCCUGGAAGCUGGGAGCUCGGGUGGUGCUGCGGUAUCUGCGCAGAGCCGGGAGCUAGCGCCCCGGGCCUCCCGGGGUGGGGGACAGAUUCUGGGAUUGGCAGGAGAUGGAUGAGGACAGUUGGGUGAUCCUUCCUCACAACUCCGUGGCUCACAGUGAGGGUCAGGCCUGGAGGCAAGCACAUCUCAUCAGGUUUCAUCUGAUCUGUCGGUGUUCGAGCCCAAACCAGUCAUGGCCGGAAGACCCAUCCGCAUAGGAGACCAGCUUGUUCUGGAGGAAGAUUAUGAUGAGACCUACAUGCCCAGUGAGCAAGAAAUUCUUGAAUUUGCCAAAGAGAUUGGUAUUGAUCCCAUAGAAGAACCAGAGCUGAUGUGGCUGGCACGGGAGGGCAUUGUGGCCCCACUGCCUGGGGAGUGGAAACCAUGCCAGGACAUCACAGGUGAUAUUUACUAUUUCAACUUUGCCAACGGGCAGUCCAUGUGGGACCACCCCUGUGAUGAGCACUAUCGGAACUUGGUGAUCCAAGAACGGGGGAAACUGUCGACUCCUGGGGCUAUUAAGAAGAAAGAAAAGAAAAAGAAAAAGGAAAAGAAAGACAAGAAGGACAAAGAGACCUCCAAAAGUCCCCUGGAAACGCAGCCUGAGCAGGGACUUCUGCCUUCUUCCUCCUUUCUCCGUGGCCCAUCCCCUCUCUCAGCACCUGGGCUGGCUGAUCUGGACCUAGACCAAGAGAUGCAGGCUAGAAGUGAGGGCUCCUUUAAGAAAGGGAAGAGCCCACGUAUGCUGGCUGACAUCCCUAGGUCUCUCACGGGCUCCCUGCCCAGCAAGCUACAGCCACUCUUCAAGGGCCAAGCUUCCCGAACCCACCAGAUCUUUGCCGACGUGGAGAAAAUCUUAGGCAGGGCCCCAGCCCACUGCAGGACAGAAUUAGGUGAUCAGCAGGGUCUGGAGAAGCCCCAGCAGGCGACAGAGAAAAUCUACCUGGGGUUUUCAGACCCUGAAAUAGAAGAGCUGGAAAUGAGGACCAGACAGCAGAAACCUGGCGCUUUGGGCCCUGACCACAGCAGCCCCUUCCGGAACGGGCAGGAUGCGUUAGAGAGCAGGAGCCAGGCCUUGGUCCACUUGAAGUUUUUGGAAGCCCUCAAGGGCCUGCAGCUGAAAGGGGAGCAGCACAGCCAUAACAUGGCCAAGCGGAGCUCCACUGGCCCCGGGGGGGACAAGGGCCAGAGCCCCAUUCCCUCACCAUCCCCUGAGGAGGAUCCCUCCCUGUCCCUUUGUUCUUCUGACCCCAUGCUGCCUGCCAGGAAGAGCAAGCCGUUUUUGUUAGUCAGCAGCCCAGCUGAAGACCAGAGCUGGCAGGGCGUUUCUGGGGAAGAGGGCAGCAUGGGCAGGGGCAGGAGGAGGAGAGAGCCCCCGGGAUUGUGCAUGGGACAGGUCUCCAAGCUUGUCCACAAGGACGCCCCUUGGGGCAGCAAGAAAAUAGAGCCCGAAGACCCUGAGGCUCCAGGGGCCUCAGCCAUAGGUCCACCUCAGGGGCUCUUGCUAAUACCCCCCGAUACCCUGGUCUCAGAACCAGCCCAGAGCGCCCCUGCAGUCACCUCGCAGGCCCCUCGAGGGUCUCCUGCCAGUGAGAAGACACCACCCCCAGGCUCUCUGGAGCCCCCUGCAGAGGACAGGAGGCUGGGCAGGUUUGGGCCUGACUUGGAGAGCAGCAGCAGCAGCCUGGCCUCUCACCUGGGCUCUGAGGUCCUGGGGGAGGUGACCAACUUCCCUUGGGACCUGCAGAGCUCACGGGAAUCUGAGCAGGGUGUGGGUCAGUCAGGCCCCGGACCCAGGGAGCAGCACCCCAGCCCCUUCCUGGCGCCCCAGUUGUCCCACAUGCAAAGCUCUGCUGAGGAGCAGUCAGAGAGUGAAGACUACUCUGAGGACCAGAGGUUCUACCAGCACAUCCUGCAGAUGUUCAAGCUCUCCAGGCGGCUGGAGGGCCCGGGGCCGCCCGAGAGCGCGCGGGACAGGCCGUGCAGAGACCUUGCCAGCGUGGUCUGCCGCCUGGCAGCCGAGUCUUCCAGGAUGUCUAGUGAGGGCGAGCACGAGGCCAUCAGAGCCAUGGGCUCCAGGUUUCUGUCUUGGGGGCCAGAGACGCGGGAGCAUCCUCAGAAGGUGGCUGGCGCCCCGGCUGGGCAGGAGGCCUCUCAGCAAGCUCGUUUCCAGCCAAGCAGCAGCCCCCUCAGGCAGGGGCUGGUCAAGCUGAGUUCCAGCAGCGGGCUUGCUACAGAGCCAGGCAAGAUGCAGCUUCUCGACCAGGCCCUGGGCUCCCCGUUAGCCCCCGUCCACAUUCCUCUCGGGGGUCUGGCCCCGUUAAGGGGCCUGGUGGAUGCCCCGCCCUCUGCUCUUCGUGGAUCUCAAAGCGUGAGCCUGGGGAGCUCGGUGGAGUCUGGUCAGCAUGGAGAACUCUCAAUGCCUUCACAGGGUCUCAAGACUUCUGCGUAUACAAAGGGUCUCCUGGGCUCCAUCCAUGAGGACAAGAAUGCUCUCAGCCUCUUGGCUUUAGGAGAGGAGACCAAUGAGGAGGAUGAGGCGGAGAGUGACAACCAGAGUGUCCGAAGCUCAAGUGAGCUUCUUAAGAACCUGCACCUGGACAUCGGGGCACUGGGGGGUGACUUCGAGUAUGAGGAAUCUCCAAGAACAAGCCCGCCAGAGGAGAAGAAGGACACUUCUCUGGAUUCCGAUGCUGCCAGCCCCCCUACUCCUGGCAAGCUCUUCGGCCGAGGUGCAGAUAGCAGCCUGAGCAGUGCCGAUGGCCAAGGGCAACAGGGAAGAGGGGCAAGUUGGCUCCCAGAAAAAGAAAAGAAUGAGAAGAAUGAUCCCGGGAUGUCCAGGAGUGUGGCGGACCCUGGGGGCGACCCUGCGGGCGAUCAGCCUGCCAAAGCCAAUAAAAAAGAGGCACCAGAGGACCCGGUGGAUGCAAGAGAGGAGGGUUCCCUGCAGGAAGAGGCAGCAAAGGAGCCAAAGAAGGAGGCUUCCGUCCCGAAAGAGAGCAGAUCAGAGGCGAGCGAAGAGUCAGAGAUCAGUGAACACAUGAAGGAACUACAGCCCUCAGACUCCACUGCUUCUGACCCCAAGUCCUUUCUUGGCCUGGACUUCGGUUUCCACAGCCGGAUCUCGGAGCACCUGCUGGAUGUGGGCAUGCUCUCCCCUGUCCUGGAUGGAGCCCGCUGGGAGGCCCAGAGGUUGGGGAGAGAAGACAAGGAUGCCAGCCAGUCCAGCCAAGAUGAGCUGCAGAGCAAGAAGUCCAGAGGCUCGGAGAGGUUAUCUCCUCCUCUUCUGCAUGGGGAGCGGCUCCAGAGUCCCCUUCACAGCCAGGCCACGGAUGAAGGGCCCCCGCAGCCCCUGGAGGAGCAGCUGGAACAGAAGGGGGCAGAGGAGCCUGGGGAGGGCUCUGCAGGCAGCCCCACGCCCCCUGGUUCCCUGCAGAGAGAGAAGAGGGCAUGCCACGCCAGGUGGGGCCACGUGGGGAAGGACCAGGCUUGGCCAGGAGGCCGAAGAGGCGAGAAGGAAGAGCAUAACCCAGAGCCUUCAUUGGGGUUUUCGUGGGAAGCAAUGGGCGAGACAGGGCGAUCUACGGAGCCUGCGGUUCCCCCAGAGCAGCUCUCAGAGGCUGCACUGAAGGCCUCGGAAGAGGUGGUGGCCCAAGGACUCGAGCAAGAGCAGAGGGGGCUCCUGGAGUCCAAGCGAGAGAAGAUGCCGCGGCUGCAGGAGAAGCUGUGGCAGGAGGAGGAGGCGGCGGAGACCCUGCAGCUUCACCGGCAGAAAGAGAAGGCGCUCAGUUCCCUGACAGAGCAGCUGCAGAGAGCCACCGAGGAAGAGGAGAGCCUGGUGAGAGAGCAGGAAGGCCAGAGGCUGUCCCGGCUCUGCGCCCAGGUGCAGUGCAGCGUGGAAGCGGAUGAGGACCAAAUCAGGGCCGAGCACGAGGCUUCCCUGCAGAGGCUGCGAGAAGAGCUGGAGUCUCUACAGAAGGCUGAGAGGGCCAGCUUGGAAGAGAGAAACAGGCAGACGCUGGAGCGUCUCAGGGAAGACAUGGAGGCUUCGGAGAAGAGAGAGCAGGCCGCCCUGAACACGGAGAAGGAGAAGGCCUUGCAGCAGCUGAGGGAGCAGCUGGAAGGGGAGAGGAAAGACGCGGUGGCCGCGCUGGAGAGGGAGCACAGAGAGGAGCUGGAGCGGCUGUCUUCCUCGCUGGAGGCCAAGCACAGGGAGGUGGUCUCCAGCCUCCAGAAGAAGAUGGAGGAAGCUCAUCAGAAAGAGGAGGCCCAGCUGCAGGAGAGGCUUGGGCGGGCGGAGCAGAGAGCUCAUCAGAAAGUUUAUCACGUUCUCGAGUACGAGCAAGAGCUCAGUGGCCUCCUGAGAGAGAAGCGCCAGGAGGUGGAGAAGGAGCACGAGAGGAAGAUGGACAGGAUGAAGGAGGAGCAUCAGCAAGUGGUGGCUGAGGCCAGGGAGCAGUAUGAAGCCGAGGAGAGGAAGCAGCGGGCCGAACUCCUGGGGCACCUGACGGGAGAGCUGGAGCGCCUGCGCAGGGCCCACGAGCGGGAGUUGGAGACAGUGAGGCAGGAGCAGGACCGGCAGCUCGAGGACCUGCGGCGGCGGCCCCGGGAGCAGGAAAGGAAACUCCAAGAGUUAGAGGUGGAGCUUGAAACCAGAACCAAGGAUGUCAAGGCCAGAUUGGCUCAGCUGGAUGUCCAGGAGGAGGCCGCCCGGAAGGAGAAGCAGCAGCUCCUCGAUGUGCAGAGGCAGUUUGCAUUGGAGCGCGAGGAAGCCACAGCCACCCGUCAGCACCUGGAGGAGGCAAAGAAGGAGCACAGCCACCUGCUGGAGUCAAACCGGCAGCUCCGAAGAAUCGUCGAGGAGCUUCAGGCCCGCAAGUUGGAGCUGGAGUCCCAGGUGGAUUUGCUGCAGGCCCAGAGUCAGAGGCUGCAGAAGCAUGUCAGGUGUGACCUGGAGGCCAAAGCUCAGAGGAAGCAGGACUUGCUGAAAGAGCUGGCGGUGGAAGAGAGUGAUGCUUCCUCACGAUUUGAGCCUGAUCUCCACAUUGAGGACCUGAGGAAAUCCCUUGGGACGAACCAGACUAAAGAGGUAUCCUUUUCCCUCUCCCAGAGCAAGGAGGAGACCGACUUGUCCUUGGACAGCGCCCGGCACUACCUCUCUGCCGAGGGGGUAGCUCUCCGCAGCGCCAAGGAGUUCCUGGUCCGGCAGACGCGCUCCAUGCGGAGGCGGCAGACAGCUCUGAAGGCUGCCCAGCAGCACUGGCGCCACGAGCUGGCCAGCGCUCAGGAGGCGGCCAAGGACCCGCCAGGCACCAAGGCCCUGGAGGACAUGUGCAAGGACCUGGAGGAGGAGACCAGGCACCUGGAUGAGAUGAAGUCAGCCAUGCGGAAAGGCCACGACCUGCUGAAGAAGAAGGAGGAGAAGCUGCAUCAGCUGGAGUCUUCUCUCUGGGACGAGGCUUCAGAUGAAGACACUCUGAGAAGACCCCCCACCAAGAAGGUGGUGACCUUUGACCUCAGCGACCUGGAAGACGGGAGCAGUGACAGUUCCGAAUCCUGCCCCCUGCCUCACAUCGUCCCGACCCCGAGUCCCACUUUCCCCAACAAGAUCCACUACCUGAGCAGCUCCCUGCAGCGGAUCAGCGGCCAGCUCAACGGUGUCCUCAGCGUGCUGGGCAGCCUUAACACCCAGCCUCCGCCGCUUUUCACCUCCACGCCCUCACCGCUCCCCACCCAGGCCUCCAGGAGCACCCCCGCUCCCUCCUACCCCUCCCUGCUCCGGGUCUCAGCCUCAUCCCCGGCUCCACCCACAUCCACCCAGUGGGCCUGGGACCCAGAGCUGGGCCCCCGGCUCUCCUCCUCCGUGGCUCAGACUGUGGACGACUUCCUGGUGGAGAAGUGGCGCAAGUAUUUUCCAACUGGCAUCCCGUUCCUCAGCAGUGGCCCUGCCCCCCUGGAAAACAGGCUGGGGUAUGUGUCUGCCAGGCCCCCAACCAUAAGUACAACCCCUCUCACCCUUUGGCCAACUUGGGAGCUGAUGCUGGCAAGUGAGCAGCUCCGCCUCCUGCAGCGUCCCCCCUCCCAAGUCCCCGAGGCGGGCAGCACCAACUUCCAGGACAUGAUCGAGGCUCACCGCAAGUGGCUGGAACAUUACAAGAAUGACCCCAAGUCACAUCUCUUCUCUUCGGUGCCCAAGCCAACGGCUGGUUCCGGCCUCCUGCAGCUGGGCCUGGAUGAGAACAACAGACUGAAGGUGUAUCGCUACUGAGGCCCUGAGCCCUGAGCCGGCACGCAGCCUGGCCUCUCCUGCGUCCAGACCAAGUGUCCGAGUUGCUGCCUGCACUUCACUCCCUCUGAUGAUAAAGCGUUCUCCCGUCCCCUCUUUGCUGUUUGCCUCACUCAGAACCUAGAGGAACCACGGGGAACCGGUGGCAUUGGUGGGGGUGGGGGGAAGGACGGUAUGACCAGAAACAGUAAGCCGCCGCCCCAGACCGUGUAACGCAUCUCGGGCUGCCCUGUGUGACUCCUGCGGACUGGCAGCACUGACGUGGGGCAGCGGGGACAGGGGCACCUUCGCGAGAAGGUAGCACUGGAGGAGCUGCCUCCUUCCGAGGCCAGGGGACUCCUUUGGAGCAGAGUUGGCCUCUCGGACCUGCAGGGCCUGCUUGGCACUCCCAGGGUCACGUGUGUGGUCCUUAAUUCGUCAGAACAAAGCCCCCCACAGCGUGUCUGUACCCUGGGACCAGGCCCCGUCUCUCUAAUACCUCAGCCGUGUAGAGAUCAGACUUUCUGUUUUUUUUUUUUUUAAUGUCCCCUUUCUUGAGUGUGCUCCCUCCUUUUGACUCUCUCAGUAUUGGGCCCAGAGCCCUGCGGGAGGUGGCUGGAGGCUGGGCCCGGAAGUUUUGCUGCCUGUCUUCCCUCUGCUGGCCCUGGGGCUGACCUCAGGAGCACCCCCUUCCCCUUGCCCAGAGCAUCCCAGCUAGAUUCUCAGGGCUCAAGUACCCAACUAUCAGGAAGCCAACAAGCCAUAGGAAAAGUCAGGGAUGGCUCUGGUCCUCACCUUGGCUUUCUCUUCCCGGACCACCUUGGGUGUACACGUGCGUCAUUUUCAUCCGUCUUUUCCAGCUGUGCCACCGCCCACCCCAUCCCCCUGCCGCCCCUCCUCAGAGCUUGGAGACUUGUUCUGGAGGAGGUGAGGGGCCUGGCCUUGGCAGGGAGGGACCAAGUGCCAAUGGGAGCUGCUGCCAUUCUGGCACGGGAUCCUGCAGCCCCACCUCCCAUCAGUGGGCUCCUCGGGGGGACAUGCAGGGGAUGUUCAACGUCUGCCCCAUUGUUUAAAUACAAUGCCCCCAUUUUCCCUGUCUUGAAAGCCGUGGGGUUGCCCUUGCAUCUCCAGUGCGUAGAAACCAACUCUCCACCAUCCCACCCUCGUUCCUCUGUCAUGGGGUAAGAAACUAAGAUCUCAUACGUUACAACCAACUCUGGUGACAAUCCUGUGUUUUUUACGUCAAUUAAAUCGCUGCAGGUCCAGUUGCUACAAGGCAGUUGUGUGAAUGUGUCUCCUUUUUGAAGGACUUUCCCUCCCUGUAUUUUUAAGCAGGAGGCAAAUUAAUAUUCACAGAACACCUAGGUAUCGGAUCUACUCACAUGACAAACCUGUGAUGUAGAUAGUUUUAGCUCCAUUUCUAUGGAUGAGAAAACCAAGCCUCAGAGAUCUUUAAGUGCCUGAGGUCCUGGAGAAAGCAGCUGAGUUCCCUAUAAGCGCAGAGCCUCAUACGCCAUCACUGUGCCCUGAGAGCUCCCAUCCCAGUGGGGAAGUGUCCCAGCCUCCCGACUCCACUUACCGGCCCCGAGACUUACUUACUGUGCCAUUUCCCAAAGGCCACUCGUCGUCGUUUUCCCCAUGCAGACGAAUGAAAGCAACAAAAUUGCUGGAAGAACCAACUGAGAAUCAGGCCGUGUUUCAUAGACUCGCAAAAGAAAACCGACUUAAAGACAACAUACAAAGGAACCCAGCCUCCUCUGUGUCCCAG